rnacentral:rRNA from 1 species
AUUGAACGCUGGCGGCAGGCCUAACACAUGCAAGUCGAACGAGGGGCGGACGGGUGAGUAAUGUCUGGGAAACUGCCUGAUGGAGGGGGAUAACUACUGGAAACGGUAGCUAAUACCGCAUAACAGCGGAUGUGCCCAGAUGGGAUUAGCGAGCAGGUGGGGUAACGACUCACCUAGGCGACGAUCCCUAGCUGGUCUGAGAGGAUGACCAGCCAACCUGGAACUGAGACACGGUCCAGACGCCUACGGGAGGCAGCAGUGGGGAAUAUUGCCCAAUGGGCGCAAGCCUGAUGCAGCCAUGCCGCGUGUAUGAAGAAGGCCUUCGGGUUUUAAAGUACUUUCAGCGAGGAGGCGUUACUCGCAGAAGAAGCACCGGCUAACUCCGUGCCAGCAGCCGCGGUAAUUC